ACAAACUUGGUCAUUUAGAGGAAGUAAAAGUCGUAACAAGGUUUCCGUAGGUGAACCUGCGGAAGGAUCAUCAUUGAAUAAUAUAUUUUUCAAGCUUUGGAGGGGGAAGGGGAAGAGAGAAAACUCUCUUCUCUUUCGUUCUUCUGGCUUGCAAACAAACAACUUUGAUACCCAAAAAGAGUCGCAUUCUUUCCUGCGCUUGUCUUUGGUCUUUUGCAGCUUUUCCCGGCCUAUUUACUUGGGUUGGUUGCUGUGGGAGACGGGAGAGAAGAGGGGAAGGGAGGGGGAAACAAAAACCCCCCAGACGGAAUAACACAUGUAGUUGCCUGAUAAAAAAAGAGUUUGGUUUGAGAAUGGAAAAUGAAACAACUUUCAACAACGGAUCUCUUGGCUCUCACAUCGAUGAAGAACGCAGC
rnacentral:misc_RNA from 1 species